rnacentral:misc_RNA from 1 species
UCCGAGUUGACCCCGGCAGUCUCCCAUGAGUCCCCACCAUUACGUGCUGGCAACAUGGAACGAGGGUUGCGCUCGUUGCGGGACUUAACCCAACAUCUCACGACACGAGCUGACGACAGCCAUGCAGCACCGGUGCACCACCCUCGAAGGCACCAGCGCUUCCGCUGGUUGCAGGUGCAUGUCAAGCCUGGGUAAGGUUCUGCGCGUUGCGUCGAAUUAAACCACACGCUCCGCUGCUUGUGCGGGCCCCCGUCAGUUCCUUUGAGUUUUAGCCUUGCGGCCGUACUCCCCAGGCGGGGCGCUUAAUGCGUUAGCUACGGCACGGAUCCCGUGGAAGGAAACCCACACCUAGCGCCCACCGUUUACGGCGUGGACUAC